rnacentral:tRNA from 1 species
GCCCGGAUGGCUCAGUUGGUUGAGCACCUGACUUCAGCUCAGGUCAUUAUCUCAUGGUUCGUGGGUUCAAUCCCCACAUUGGGCU